UCCUNCGGGAGGCAGCAGUAAGGGAUCUUGCGACAAUGGGCGAAAGCCUGACGCAGCACGCCGCGUGCGGGAGGACGGCCUUCGGGUUGUAAACCGCUUUUCGGGGGGAAGAGGAAGGACGGUACCCCCGGAAGAAGUCUCGGCUAACUACGUGCCAGCAGCCGCGGUAAAACGUAGGAGGCGAGCGUUAUCCGGAUUUACUGGGUGUAAAGCGCGUGUAGGCGGUCCUGCAAGUGGUGCGUGAAAGCGCCCGGCUCAACCGGGCGAGGACGUGGGCGAACUGCAGGGCUAGAGGCAGGUAGAGGCGUGUGGAAUUCCGGGUGUAGUGGUGAAAUGCGUAGAGAUCCGGAGGAACACCAGUGGCGAAGGCGACACGCUGGGCCUGGCCUGACGCUGAGAGGCGAAAGCAUGGGGAGCGAACGGGAUUAGAAACCCCGGUAGUCCAUGCCGUAAACGAUGCUGACUAGGUGUGGCGGGUAUGAACUCCUGCCGUGCCGGAGCCAACGUGGUAAGNCCC
rnacentral:rRNA from 1 species